rnacentral:rRNA from 1 species
GACAGAGGAUGCAAACGUUGCUCGGAAUUACUGGGCGUAAAGCGCAUGUAGGCGGCUUGGUAAGUCGGACGUGAAAGCCCGGGGCUCAACCCCGGAAGUGCGUUCGAUACUGCCGAACUUGGGUCCUGAAGAGGAGAGCGGAAUUCCCGGUGUAGAGGUGAAAUUCGUAGAUAUCGGGAGGAACACCAGUGGCGAAGGCGGCUCUCUGGGCAGGUACCGACGCUGAGAUGCGAAAGCGUGGGAAGCAAACAGG